CGGACGGGUGAGUAACGCGUGAGGACAGGAGAUAGGAGGGGGACAACGACUGGAAACGGUAGAAAUACCCCAUAUGUCUACGGAUGAAAGAUUUUAUCGCCUGAGGAUGAACUCGCGUCUGAUUAGCUAGUUGGUGAGGUAAGGGCUCACCAAGGCGACGAUCAGUAGCUGGUCUGAGAGGAUGAUCAGCCACACUGGGACUGAGACCCGGCCCAGACUCCUAGGGAGGCAGCAGUGGGGAAUUUUCCGCAAUGGGGGCAACCCUGACGGAGCAAUACCGCGUGCGGGAGGCCGACCUGUGGGUUGUAAACCGCUUUUCUCAGGGAAGAAGGACUGACGGUACCUGAGGAAUCAGCAUCGGCUAACUCCGUGCCAGCAGCCGCGGUAAUACGGAGGAUGCAAGCGUUAUCCGGAAUUAUUGGGCGUAAAGCGUCCGUAGGUGGUUAAACAAGUCUGCUGUUAAAGAGCGGAGCUUAACUCCGUUUUGGCGGUGGAAACUGUUUGACUAGAGAGUGGUAGGGCUAGAGGGAAUUCCCAGUGUAGCGGUGAAAUGCGUAGAUAUUGGGAAGAACACCGGUGGCGAGAGCGCUCUACUGGGGCCACAUCUGACACUGAUGGGACGAAAGCUAGGGGGAGCGAAAAGGGA
rnacentral:rRNA from 1 species